AUGAGAGCGCUCAGGGUUUUCCUCAUGCUCGCCACCUUGCCUUGGAUCGCCCUCUCGGUCGGCGAGCGCCGGAGCGUCAUGUGGCGCGGCGACUCCUUCGCCGUGGAGGACGCCGCCUCGCACGCCCUGGUGUCCCCGGGCGGCAACUUCUCGUGCGGCUUCCGCAAGGUGGCCACCAACGCCUACACGCUCGCCAUCUGGUUCACGGCCUCGGCCGACGCCACCGUGGCCUGGGCGGCCAACCGCGACGCGCCCGUCAACGGCCGGGGCUCCCGCGCCGAGCUCCGGCACGACGGCUCCCUCGUGCUGCGGGACUUCGACGGCCGCGUCGCGUGGAGCACCAACACCAGCGACGCCGGGGCGGACCGCGCGGAGCUGCUCGACUCCGGCAACCUCGUCGUGUCCGACGCGUCCGGGCGCGCGCUCUGGCAGAGCUUCGACUGGCCCACCGACACGCUCCUCCCCGGCCAGCCCAUCACGCGGUACCGCCGCCUCGUGUCGGCGUCGGCGAGGGGCCUGCCCUACUCCGGCUUCUACAACUUCUACUUCGACAGCAACAACAUCCUCAACCUCAUGUACGACGGCCCGGAGAUCAGCAGCAACUACUGGCCGAAUCCGUUCAACAAGUGGUGGGACAACAACCGGACGGCGUACAACAGCAGCCGCUACGGCAGCCUCAACGCGCGCGGCCGCUUCUUCGCCAGCGACAACCUCAAGUUCAACGCCUCCGACCUCGGCGACGCCGGCGUCAUGCGCCGCCUCACGCUCGACUACGACGGCAACCUCCGCCAGUACAGCCUCGACGUCUCUGCAGGGACGUGGCGGGUCACGUGGGCGGCAAUGUCGCGCCAGUGCGACGUGCACGGCAUUUGCGGCCGCUACGGGUUGUGCACGUACGGGCUGGGCGGGGCGCCGGUGUGCUCGUGCCCGGAGGGGUUCGUCGGCGCCAACGCCAGCGACUGGAGCAAGGGCUGCCGGCGCGAGUUCGACGUCCGGUGCGGCGAGGACGUGUACUUCGCGCCCAUGCCGGCCGCCGACUACUGGGGCUUCGACUUCAACUACACCGAGGCGCUCACCUUCGACACGUGCCGCCAGAUCUGCCUCGACGACUGCAACUGCGAGGCGUUCGGCUACAAGCAGGGCUCCGGCAAGUGCUACCCCAAGAUCGCGCUCUGGAACGGCCGCCUCCCGGACAGCAAGCAGGUCAUCUACCUCAAGGUGCCCCGCCGCGUCCAGAACCUCGACCCCUCCGUGCUGCGCCUCGGCGGCCACAGGUGCACCGUGCGCGAGGUGAACGCCAACAGCAGCGCCUCCUACCUGCUGGCCGCCGGCAGCAAGCUCAAUUUCGUCUACUUCUACUCCUUCCUGGCCGGGCUGUUCGUCAUGGAGGCCAUCUUCAUCGCCGUCGGGUACCUGUUCGUGUUCCGGGCCGACCCGGCGGCGCGGCGGAUCCGCGACGAAGGGUACAGCCUGGUGCUCAACCACUUCAGGCGGUUCACGUACGACGAGCUGUCGGCCGCGACCUCCGAGUUCAGCGAGGAGGUCGGGAGGAGCGCGUCGGGGGCCGUGUACAAGGGCGUCCUGGACGACGGCCGGAGCGUCGCCGUGACGCGGCUGGAGGAGGUGACGCAGGCGGACGAGGUGUUCCGGUCGGACCUCAGCGUGAUCGGCCGGAUCAACCACAUGAACCUGGUGAGGAUCUUCGGCUUCUGCUCCGAGCACUCGCACCGGCUCCUCGUCUCGGAGCAAGUGGAGAAGGGCUCGCUCGACAAGGCCCUCUUCGCCGACGGCGAGGACGGCGCCGCCGCGCUGGGGUGGCACGCGAGGUACGGGGUGGCCGUGGGCGUGGCCAAGGGCCUGGCGUACCUGCACCACGAGUGCCUGGAGUGGAUCGUGCACUGCGACGUGAAGCCGGAGAACAUCCUGCUGGGCGCGGACCUGGAGCCCAAGAUCAACGACUUCGGGCUGGUGAAGCUGCUGAGCCGGCGGGACGAGCGCGGGCGGGUGCUGUCCCGGGUGCAGGGCACCAGGGGGUACAUCGCGCCGGAGUGGGCGCUGAACCUGCCCAUCACCGGCAAGGCCGACGUGUUCAGCUUCGGCGUGGUGCUCCUGGAGCUGCUCCGCGGGCAGCGGGUGUGCGACUGGGAGGUGGACGGAGGGGGAGGGGAGGCGCUGCGCAUGGACUUCCCGCGGCUCGUCGCGCUGCUGCGGGAGGAGACGAGGGACCUGCAGGAGGCGUGGCUGGAGGAGUUCGUCGACGCGCGGCUGCGCGGCGACUUCAGCCACCCGCAGGCGGCCGCGAUGCUGGAGGUGGCGGUGUCGUGCGUGGACGACGACCCCGGCAGGAGGCCCAGCAUGAACGCCGUCGUGCAGAUGCUCCUCUCGUCGCAGGACGUGGUGCCGCCGUCGCUCCGCCACGCGUCGUCUCCGGUCCCGGAGAUCAGCCACAUGGUCUGA
rnacentral:rRNA from 1 species